rnacentral:lncRNA from 1 species
CUGUCUUGUCCCAUUGGAAAAUCAGGAGUCCUGCAGGACUAGACACCUCGGGUCAGUUAGAAACAGGUAAUAGAAGUGGGGCUCACCGCAACCAGCACACUGACCUCAGCAACUUGCCAACAGAGGCACCACUCCAAAGAGACCAGCAAAUAGCCUCACAUUGCAGAAGGCACAGUCCACGGGACAACCAAGCUUAAGGUCCUAGCUGGCUUCACCACACAGCCCUGGUGCUCAGCUCAUUCUUCCCAGAGGUUAAGGUAGGUGGCAACUGCAGCUCAGUGAUUAUCCACAGAAGGAGCAUUGAACCUCACCCAACUCCAGUAGCCAAGAAGUGAUCCAAUUAAGCUCUGGUCUUGUCAUUAAGUGUUCUCCAGGCUGAGAGGCAAUUACAGGUCAGCCAUUACCAUGGAAGUAAUUAUCCAUCUGGCCCUGCCCAAUGCCACUGCUCAGUGGUGACUCCACCAAGCCUCAGUGCUUUUCUUAUGCUUAUCUUAAGCUGGGAGGCAGGUGCACCUCCACACAUAUCUGUUCAGAACAAGCUCUGAUCCUUCCCACCCCAAGUGGCUGAGCAAUAACCUGGAGAUCUCCAUCAGCCUCAGAGACAAGUACAUGAUCCUGCCCAGCUAUAGAUUCCAAAUAAUAGCACGACCCAGCAGGGAAGAAAACCUAGACUUUUUUCUGUUCAGAGAUCAUUGCAAUGCCCUGUCAGUGCUGGCAGAGUCUAGCCAGUGGUCUCAUGGAAUACAGUUAGCAUAUAAUUUGACAUCAGAGCACAGGAAGUGAUGCAACCCAAUGAGAGAACUGGCACCAACGUCUGUCUGUUUGGAGUUACUACGAGGUGGUCCAUCCAGAAUCGCAGGCUACACUAAAUGAUAAAGAUCUAUCACCACCAAAGACCAGAAAAGGCCUGAUGAUGUGGGCAUAUCAUCAAAUGUGCAGGCAUCAAUGUAAGGACAUGAGGACAAUGAAAUCAGGGAAGUAUGACACCAACCAAAAAAAUCUAAUAAAGAACCAAUAACAGACAUGGAAGAAAUUGAUAACCAUGAAAUGACUGGCAAAGAAUUAGAAUAAUACUCUAAACAAAGUUCAGGAAACUCCAGAAAAAUACAGAUGGAAAAUUAAAUGAAGCUUGGAAACCAAUUUAUGAAUAAAAUGAGAAGUUUGACAAAGAAAUAGAAAAAAUAAAAAUCCUAGAGAGAAACAGC